rnacentral:rRNA from 1 species
AACGAACGCUGGCGGCAGGCCUAACACACGCAAGUCGAGCGAAGCCUUCGGGCUUAGCGGCGGGCGGGUGAGUAACGCGUGGGAACGUGCCCUUUGGUACGGAAUAGCCCCGGGAAACUGGGAGUAAUACCGUAUGUGGUCGAGAGACGAAAGAUUUAUCGCCAAAGGAUCGGCCCGCGUUGGAUUAGGUAGUUGGUGGGGUAAUGGCCUACCAAGCCGACGAUCCAUAGCUGGUUUAAGAGGAUGAUCAGCCACACUGGGACUGAGACACGGCCCAGACUCCUACGGGAGGCAGCAGUGGGGAAUCUUAGACAUUGGGGGAAACCCUGAUCUAGCCAUGCCGCGUGAUCGAUGAAGGCCUUAGGGUUGUAAAGAUCUUUCAGUGGGGAAGAUAAUGACUGUACCCACAGAAGAAGCCCCGGCUAACUCCGUGCCAGCCGCCGCCGUAAAAC